AAACCAAACAACUCUUGAAAGUCAUUUUAGUUUCAACAACAAUAUUGGUUUAAGUCAGGAUGACCCGUCAAAAUCAGCAUAAUCAAGACUUUUGUAAACUAAACAAUACAUUGUCCAAAAAAGUGGUGCAUUUUGUUUCCAAAAUUCCAUAGGAAGCUGGUGAGCCUACUGAUGUUGUUUCAUUUGGCUGAAUCAGAUUAACAGAAGUUCUG
rnacentral:lncRNA from 1 species